GCCAGCAUGGUGUAGUGGUUUGUGUGUUGGACUAGGACUCAGGAGACAAGGGUUCAAAUCCCUACUCAGCCA